AUUUUGGGUUAAUACAUCAGGCAAGUUAGUAUUUACAGCUCGAUCGAGGAAAAUUGAAAAUUUGUAGAGAAUCUCGUAAUAAAGCCAACAGCCCGAAACUCUAACACACUCUAACAUACUUCAAAGCAGCGGUAUUUCUAAAAGUAAUCCAGUCACACGCUAUCCUACAGAAAUUCCACGUUACAACUACAAACUUUAAUGUAUAUCUUGUUUAAAUGAAAACCAUGUAUGUUUCAACUUCCAUCUUAUAUUUAUCAAUACUCCAUGUUGCUUUGUCACCUGACACCUCAAAACACAUUGAAACGGAUCCUUGCCUGGAUGCAUUUCACAUCCAAGCACUGAUCCAAUGCAUGUAACACAGAAAUGGUAAAAAAAA